rnacentral:rRNA from 1 species
AACUGCCACCGUCUCAGCCUGAAGGCGCCCGAUCUCGUCUGAUCUCGGAAGCUAAGUAGGGUCGGGCCUGGUUAGUAUCUUGGAUGGGGAGACCACCUGGGAGUCCCGGGUGCUCGAGGCUU